GCUAGCAUAUCAAUAAGCGGAGGAAAAGAAACUAACAAGGAUUCCCCUAGUAACUGCGAGUGAAGAGGGAAAAGCUCAAAUUUAAAAUCUGGCAGUCUUUGAUUGUCCGAGUUGUAAUUUAGAGAAGUGUUACCCGUGUUGGGCCGUGUAUAAGUCUCCUGGAAUGGAGCGUCAUAGAGGGUGAGAAUCCCGUCUUUGACACGGACUUCCGAUACAUUGUGGUAUGCUCUCGAAGAGUCGAGUUGUUUGGGAAUGCAGCUCUAAAUGGGUGGUAAAUUCCAUCUAAAGCUAAAUAUUGGGGAGAGACCGAUAGCGAACAAGUACCGUGAGGGAAAGAUGAAAAGAACUUUGGAAAGAGAGUUAAACAGUACGUGAAAUUGCUGAAAGGGAAACGCUUGAAGUCAGUCGCGUUAGUUUGGGAUCAGCCUUCCUUUUGGUUGGUGUACUUCCUUACUGAUGGGUCAGCAUCAGUUUUGAUCAGUGGAUAAAAGCUUGAGGAAUGUGGCAUCUUCGGGUGUGUUAUAGCCUCUUGUUGUAUACAUUGGUUGGGACUGAGGAACUCAGCACGCCGCAAGGCCGGGUUUUUAACCACGUACGUGCUUAGGAUGCUGGCAUAAUGGCUUUAAUCGACCCGUCUUGAAACACGGACCAAGGAGUCUAACAUGCCUGCGAGUGUUUGGGUGGAAAACUCGAACGCGUAAUGAAAGUGAAAGUUAGGAUCUCUGUCGUGGAGAGCACUGACGCCCGGCCCAGAGCUUCUGUGACGGUGCUGCGGUUGAGCAUGUAUGUUGGGACCCGAAAGAUGGUGAACUAUGCCUGAAUAGGGUGAAGCCAGAGGAAACUCUGGUGGAGGCUCGUAGCGAUUCUGACGUGCAAAUCGAUCGUCGAAUUUGGGGUAUAGGGGCGAAAGACUAAUCGAACCAUCUAGUAGCUGGUUCCUGCGAG
rnacentral:rRNA from 1 species